rnacentral:rRNA from 1 species
AUUGUCCCCAAGAUAGGAACUAGUUUCGACACACUUGGUGAGGCCUAUGACUUUUACAAUUUGUACUCAUGGGAGAAAGGAUUUGGUAUUAGAUAUGGAAAGAGCAGACUGAACGUCAACAGGACAAAGUUUAUGCAAGAGAUAGUAUGUGGAUGCGUGGGGAAGCCGAUAGUUGAAAAUACACGAUCUUGUCAUUGCGAAUGCCCAGCUCUUCUGAGAUUGUUCCAGACAAAGGACAACAGAUGGUACAUAGGAGAGCACCGUGAUGUGCACAACCAUGCCCUGUCACAAACCUAUGGACAGACGAUUCACUAG